rnacentral:rRNA from 1 species
UACGGAGGGUGCAAGCGUUAUCCGGAUUUACUGGGUUUAAAGGGUGUGUAGGCGGACUUUUAAGUCAGCGGUGAAAUCUCCGGGCUUAACCCGGAAAGGUCAACCGAUACUGCCGGGCUAGAGUUCGGAAGAGGCGAGUGGAAUUCCUGGUGUAGCGGUGGAAUGCGCAGAUAUCAGGAGGAACACCUAUAGCGAAGGCAGCUCGCUGGGACGACACUGACGCUGGAGACGCGAAAGCGUGGGGAGCGAACAGG